rnacentral:rRNA from 1 species
UACGAAGGGGGCUAGCGUUGCUCGGAAUUACUGGGCGUAAAGCGCACGGAGGCGGCUCUUUAAGUCGGGGGUGAAAUCCUGGAGCUCAACUCCAGAACUGCCUUUGAUACUGGGAAGCUUGAGUCCGGAAGAGGUGAGUGGAACUCCGAGUGUAGAGGUGAAAUUCGUAGAUAUUCGGAAGAACACCAGUGGCGAAGGCGGCUCACUGGUCCGGUACUGACGCUGAGGUGCGAAAGCGUGGGGAGCAAACAGG